rnacentral:misc_RNA from 1 species
GUGAUGCUAUUUUCACUCUUUCGAGAAAUUGGGUUCAAUGAGACUGAUACUGAAGCUCUUUUGGACGCCCACCCGGUAAUUAGCCUGACGCCGUUCGAAUCCAUACGCACGCGAAUUCAUUCUUUGCAGUCCCUUGGGGUCAGCGGUCUUGCUCUUUCAAGAUUGAUUGUGAAAAGACCAGAUGUUUUAACAGCUGUGGAAAUUGAUGGCCU